AGCAGGCUCCUGGUCCUGCCUCCAGCCUGUUCAGCACAGCCUAGCCUGGCAAAGAAGAGUUCUGACAGCCCUAGGGCACUGGCAAGACUCAGAGGAAGCUGCAAAAAUAGAAAAGAGAGGUCCUGUGUACCCUUCACCCACAGAUGUCCCCUUCUGCCUUCUUAGGAACUUGGGGCCAGUUCUUUAGAGGAUGGACCACAGCUCCCCACAAAACUCCACAAUAGCUAAACCAGACCAACAAGCUAUUUUCCACAAGCGAUAUACAGAAGUGAUCUCCACAUCAUGGCCAAACUGGUUUUCCUUUUUUUUUUUUCAAUUUAUAUCCAUCCUAGAGGGUGUAAAGUAGUAGGGGGCCCAGGUUCCAUCCCUGGUCAGGGAACUACAUCCCACGUGCCGCAACUAAGAGUUCGCAUGCCACAACGAAGAUCCCAUGUGC